AGGUAGGAAAAGAGAGCUUAGGAUGUGAAACCUAGGGCUCUUAAUGCAAUGACCAGAGAUUGAAGUUCUCCACAGGAGGACAUAGUCGCUCAGUAGUGCUGUGUUUUGGGGAACAGCUA
rnacentral:snoRNA from 1 species